GUCGAGAAUCUUUCACAAUGGGGGCAACCCUGAUGGAGCGACGCCGCGUGGAGGAUAAGGUCUUCGGAUUGUAAACUCCUGUCAUGCGUGAACAAGGUUGCUUGGAUAAUACCUGAGCAAAUUGAUGGUAGCGCAAGAGGAAGAGACGGCUAACUCUGUGCCAGCAGCCGCGGUAAUACAGAGGUCUCAAGCGUUGUUCGGAAUCACUGGGCGUAAAGGGUGCGUAGGUGGCGUGGCAAGUCAGAUGUGAAAGCCCGGGGCUCAACCUCGGAACUGCAUCCGAUACUGCCAUGCUAGAGUACUGGAGGGGUGACUAGAAUUCUCGGUGUAGCAGUGAAAUGCGUAGAUAUCGAGAGGAAUACCAAAGGCGUAGGCAGGUCACUGGACAGUUACUGACACUGAGGCACGAAGGCCAGGGGAGCGAACGGGAUUAGAUACCCUGGUAGUCC
rnacentral:rRNA from 1 species